rnacentral:tRNA from 1 species
GCCGGUGUGGCGAAAUGGCAGACGCGGCAGACUCAAAAUCUGCUUCACGCAAGUGAGUGUCGGUUCGAUCCCGACCACCGGCACCA